rnacentral:lncRNA from 1 species
GGGAAACGUGGCACAAAGGAGACAUCUCCCAGAGAGGGAGGAGGAUAGAGCUAAAUCUGAAUAUGUAGGUUCAUCUUGAGCCUGGGAGACUUACUAAAAACAAACAGUCAGAACACAGCACUACAGGAAUGCUGUGGAUAUCCCAAGGAGUGACAAGGUACCACCAACAAAUCCUUUGCCAGUGGAAUCAGGCAGCUGUGGGACAGGAGCUGGGGCCAGGAAUCGGGAUGUUUCCUCAUCUGGGGAGAAUUUCCUAACUGCACUAUGCCAGAGCUCAAACAAACUGAUUUAAUAUCAAAGAUAGAUCUAAGCUGGAGUUUGGGUGUGAAACUGCAGACAUCCCUCUUGAAAGAUCAAAACAAAGGUAUUGUCCAACAAAAAGGAGUGGUGGAGGGAGAUUAGGAGGCAGUGAUAAGCCAAAGAAGGGGCGCGUGAUAGCAGGAAAAACAUGGGCUUGGUCAGGAUAUCAGGGCUGGCUCAGGCAAGGCUGAUGUGGCAAGAUCUGACUGUGCCCUAUAAAUCUAGCCCCAGGCUCAGCAUUGUGCAUUGCCCCAGCCUGAAGUACUGAGUACUCUGUUGGAAGGAAGAAGCCAUGAAGGGACAGAUCUGUGUUGCAGUCCUGGCUGUUUGUCUCCUAGUGCUCGGAGGCACGGAGGCAGCUCCCCUGGACCAAAAUGGCAUUAGCUGGAACCAAGGUGAAGGUGGUGGCUUCAACAAUGGGAACGGCUAUGAAACCCCUGUCAUCUAUGAUCCUCAGGGUACCCUAGGGAACCGUGGCGGCUUUGAUGGGGUCGGUGGCCAGAGCUUCAAUGAUAAUGGGAAUGGCUUCAAACCCCCCAUCAUCUAUGAUCCUCAGGAUACCCUAGGGAACCGUGGCGGCUUUGAUGGGGUCGGUGACCAGGGCUUCAAUGAUAAUGGGAUGAAACUGUUUUGAGGCACAAGUCACCCAAGACUCCUGAAUAUUUUCCAUCUGAUUUCAAUCUAUAAUCCUAAAUCUACCCUGAUGAUGAAGAACUUCGCUUAGGAAUGCAGAGAUCCUACAUCCUUUCCCUGGUGCAAUGCAAAUAAACAUGAAUCUUACACCA